UACGUAGGGGGCAAGCGUUGUCCGGAUUUAUUGGGCGUAAAGGGCGCGUAGGCGGCGCAACAAGUCACUUGUGAAAUCUCCGGGCUUAACCCGGAGCGGCCAAGUGAUACUGUCGUGCUAGAGUGCGGAAGGGGCUACUGGAAUUCUCGGUGUAGCGGUGAAAUGCGUAGAUAUCGAGAGGAACACCUGCGGCGAAGGCGGGUAGCUGGGCCGACACUGACGCUGAGGAGCGAAAGCGUGGGGAGCGAACAGG
rnacentral:rRNA from 1 species